rnacentral:rRNA from 2 species
AUCCGGGUUGCGGACAGUGUCUGGUGGGUAGUUUGACUGGGGCGGUCUCCUCCCAAAGCGUAACGGAGGAGCACGAAGGUUAGCUAAUCCUGGUCGGACAUCAGGAGGUUAGUGCAAAGGCAUAAGCUAGCUUGACUGCGAGAGUGACAGCUCGAGCAGGUGCGAAAGCAGGUCUUAGUGAUCCGGUGGUUCUGAAUGGAAGGGCCAUCGCUCAACGGAUAAAAGGUACUCCGGGGAUAACAGGCUGAUACCGCCCAAGAGUUCAUAUCGACGGCGGUGUUUGGCACCUCGAUGUCGGCUCAUCACAUCCUGGGGCUGAAGUAGGUCCCAAGGGUAUGGCUGUUCGCCAUUUAAAGUGGUACGCGAGCUGGGUUUAGAACGUCGUGAGACAGUUCGGUCCCUAUCUGCCGUGGGCGUUGGAAGAUUGAGAGGGGUUGCUCCUAGUACGAGAGGACCGGAGUGAACGCACCACUGGUGUACGGGUUGUGAUGCCAAUUGCAUUGCCCGGUAGCUAAGUGCGGAAGAGAUAACCGCUGAAAGCAUCUAAG